AAGCAUGUCUCUCUCCCACCCAAUAAAGCCCUAGCAUCCUACAGGAUAUUGAAGCUAUUGUGUUCGGAAAACCCUCACUGAUCAUCCAAAAAUAAUCGAUGGGGAAAGAUUUAAUAGUGAGGCUAUUUUUGCUAUUUUUAAAAGAUUUUACAAGUGAUUAGGUUUAAAUCGCAUCCCGUCGUCAUUUGUUGAACGGGCAAGGGAAGAACGUCUGCAAGCAGACGAAUGAAUCGAGGGAAAAGCGAAGGCUCGUCGGCGCUGCUUCCGGUUCCUCGGUUGUCGCAGACCACAAAGAAGGCUGAAGAAAACAAAGCUCACAGGCGGUGCGUAGUUCAUAUUGUUAGUUUUAUGCGUUGGCCCUCUUCCUCACAGUCGUUCCUUGUGCACUCUCUACGUCUUCCUUUUUGCCUCUCGCCAGCUUCAUUCCUUCAAUCGACAAUAAGCACCAGGUAAAUAUGAAUUUUCCUUAAUACCCUUCUUUUUGCAACAAAUUCAACCAGGGGCUUCAAAUUUUUUGAGAAUGCGAUUAGAACUUCUAUAUGGUUUCUUUAAUAUGAUUUUUCACAACUCCUUUACAUAUAUACCCUUCAUUUUGGAAACAUUGUCAACCAAGACACAUGUUCCUCUAGAAUCGUGAAUACUUGAAGCCUAUCUAUUUAAUAUCACAAUUCCUUUUCCAUACAUGCCUUAUGUUUAGGUCAUGACUUAAAACCACAAGCCUAAUUUUGCUUCUGCACUUCUAAUUUUUCAAUGAUAUUGCAGGUUGUUCCUUAAAUUAAAAUGACUUUUGAAGUGUAACAUAUUUGGUCCCAGUCUUGGCUUCUAGAGUCAUGUUUAUGUUAUUACAGUUUUUGGUAUUGCUGGAAAAACAGGAAUUCUUUAAAGCCCCUGGUUGAAUAUGGGCAAAUUAGAAAAAAGUGCAUAAUUACAUGUGCUUAUUGGGAUGGAAGGAAUGAAGUUGGUGAGAGGAAAAAAGGAAGAUGGCGAGAGUGAACAAUGAAGGGUCGUGAUGAAGAAGCUAGAGCAUAAAGCCAAUGGAUCUGUGAAGAAUUCAUGUGUUCUAGAAUGAAGGGGCAAAAUAAUCCAUUUAGUUUCUUUUAAUUAUAAUGAUUUUACAAUAUAAAAACUAUUUAAAAAAAUAGAUUUGGGCAUAUAAGAUAUUUUAAAAGAUUAAAAAUAGCAAAUAUGAUAUUUAGAUUUUAAGUCGGGUAAAAUAUUUAUGGGUUUUUGAUAGUUCAUAUUUUUAUGCCAAAAGAUGGUUGAUUUAUCAUUCAAAUGCCUCAAAGUUGUGAAGUGUUAACACUUUUUGCAAAAAAAAAUGGUUGAUUUUUCAUGUUGAUAGUUUAAAUUUGUAAAAAGUUCACAUUUUUAUGCAUAAAGAUGGUUGAUAUUUUAUUCUGAUACCUCAAUAGUAAAACGAAAAAAAAAUUCUUUUGGGAUUUUGUUUGUUUGUUUGAUAGAAAUCGUUGGGGUGUUUAGGUUUGCUGGGAAAUCAAUGAAAAUGAAGGGAACUUGGGUUUGUUGAUUCACAGGAAAUGAAGAAGGAAGAAAUUAGUUUUUUUUUUUUGUUCUAGCAACCUCUAGUUGCGUCAACUUCUGUUUCUUAGAAGUAGUGAUUUGGGGGUGGUGUACGUUUUGUGCUUUGAUCGAUACAACAAGAAGAAAAUACCACACUAGAGUGUGUGGUCGUUGCAGAAGACGAAGAAGAAGGUGGAGGUUGGGUUGUCACAGCCGGCUGCUCCAUCUAAAGCCAUACAAUAUGUUACAGGAGGCCAGGUGUGUCCUGCCCAGGUGAAUUUUUACUUGCAUUUGGUAUUUGACAAUUACAGAAUCUUGGAAUAAUGCGAACCAUUUUACUAUUUCCAAUUAGCACCACCAACUAGAGAAGUCAAGCUCGAGUAAUCGCAACAAGGUUGAAUUCUUAAAAGGUAUCAAGUAUGUUUAUGUAGAUGAUUCAAUGGAUGAUAUUGGUGAGAUUCCAAUUCUAUUGGAAAGGAAUCACGAAUUCCAAUUCUGUUGGAAUCACAGAAGUUGAUGCUUGAAGAACGGACCACAAAAUUGAAACAUACCACAUUAUUCUUUUAGAACGUAUUAGUCGUUGUUAGAUUUUGAUGUUUUAUUUCCCGUUUUGAAAGUUUUUUAGUUUUAUUAUUUAACAAUAAAUGUAAUUCUUAACAAUUGUUACACGUAUUAUAUAAGAAAUAAUGUAUUUUUUGUUUUUAUUCUUCAA